rnacentral:rRNA from 1 species
CACGAGGGGUGCGAGCGUUGUUCGGAAUCACUGGGCGUAAAGGGAGCGCAGGCGGGAGUUCAAGCUAGGAGUUUAAUUCCGCGGCCUAACCGCGGGUUCGCUUUUGGAACUGGAUUUCUUGGAUGGGUGAUGGGUUGGCGGAAUUCCGGGUGUAGCGGUGGAAUGCGUAGAUAUCCGGAGGAACACCGAUGGCGAAGGCAGCCAACUGGCACCACAUCGACGCUCAUGCUCGAAAGCGUGGGGAGCAAACAGGAUUAGAUACC